rnacentral:siRNA from 1 species
UGGGAUCUGGUCACUUCU